AAGUCGUAACAAGGUUUCCGUAGGUGAACCUGCGGAAGGAUCAUUAACACGUAUCCAACGUUAAACCCCCUGUGAACCUUCAUUGUACGAGUUACAUCCACGUCAUAAACCGGCAAUCUCUGGUAAAUCAUCGCCGAACAGUUUUGAUUCAGAGACCUCUGGGAAGGGUGUACGGUAGUGCGAGGCAAUUGACCUGGCAUUCCUCUGCUUGUUAGUGUCUGAAAGUGUCUAGCUAUGUACGGAUGGCGCAGUAAGCGGGCCUGCGCUGAGGUGCGGCCACCCCUAAUGCUUGAACAACUGUUAACAAUGGAUAUCUUGGUUCUC
rnacentral:misc_RNA from 1 species